GUUAUGACGUCACACGCGUUGAGCUCUAUUCUGAAACUUGACUCUAGAAGCUUCUACAGUCAGUCUCUGCUCAGUUAACAGUGUGAAGGUUUGUGUAACUUUAGUUUUCCUUAUUUUGUCAUCUUUUGCUAACUAGCUUAUUCCCAAAGAUGCUCCUUCUGCUACCUGUCCUGUGUCUCAUGCUGAACGGAGGAACAGUAACGUCCAGUAACUUGCCGUGGUUAAGAACAACAAGGACAGAUCCUGGGACAGACUCAGAGAUGUAAGUUUCAACAGCAAGAUACAGUACACUCUCAAGUGUGAAGCCCAGGAAAUGUCAGACUCCCAGCUGGUGCUCAUGGGAAAUGUAGGCUGUGCUCUAAAUUCCAAUCCAGCCAUGUGAGUGGAUCUGAUGGCUGCAUCUACUGCACUCUUCAAAGCUUAAGCUGGAGUUCAAGAGCUGUCUGUCUGGGAAGACGAUCUCAAUGAAAUGUGAAGGACUGUGUCCCUGUUUGACUGUUCAGGAUCUCAGCAAACCGCCACACAAGACUGAGGAGAGCGGUGAGAGACUGUCUGUUUAGAAAACACGCUGAGUUUAGCUUUGAGACCGGUGCAGAACUCAUCACCAAAGCACACCUGAAAUCCUCUAACAGGUUUAACUCCACCACUGGACGAUUGCUUUGGCAAAGAAAAAAAUAUGAUUCAGACUCAAAGGAAGAGGUCCACAGUGUUGGACAAAUAUGGCAACAGAACUGAACGGCUCUAAGAAACAAGGCAACCCCAGCUGCAGUAAGACCACAACACUGAAUUGAGAUUAAGUGAAAAAAUGUGGACUUGGAGAAGAAAGUAACAGGUUGUUCAAAGAUGAGCAGCAGGACACAUCAGAGGAUUUUAGCAGCAGGGGUGAUGUCAUUCUCGUUGUUGACCAAUAGAAGGAGGCAAACAAAAUGAGCGAGGCAAACGGACCACCCCAGAGGAGCUACUGAGGACGAUGAAGAUCUGGAGAGGGAGGAUGGAUCUGGAUGUGUCUGGAUGUCGUCGGUGAGGCACCAUAUCCUGUCUGGCUGUUGUCGUACCCUGGUGCCAUGAGGUGCUGCUGCCCGGGGCUGUAAGCUCACACAAAUGUGAACACUCACAAUAAUACACAAAAAGAAUUACAAAUACGGUACUAAAUCAGCACUUUUGCAAAUGUUUACCUAUUUUAAUGUUUCAUUUUCCCCUUGUAAAAAGAAAUCUCUGUCGUUCUUCAUGCAAGCUUUGUGAAUAUGUUUUCCAGGCAACAGCUUUAAAAUUC